AUGAAGCGUCUCGCCUUCAUACCCACACACGGUUACAAAUCUCUUCUCCUCAUCUAUACGAAAACCACCUCAAAUCUUAUUAUUCUCCUUCAUCACUCUCAUCCACAACCCCUACGCCACCAUAACCGCUGCCAUGGGAGACGAUUCCAGCAUGGAGGCUCUUCACAUUCUCGAGUUUUCGUUUAACUUCAAUCGCUUAUCUAAAUUUGUUUUCAUUGCGGCCGUAACCCCAACUUAAUCCGCAUCCAACUGUCUUAGAGGAGGCAAGGUUAAGCAAGUGAACGACCAGAUCUCGGUGGUUUGUAAGGGAGGUGAUGAUAGUUCUGUUCAUGAACAUGGUGGUUGUUCUGCUUCUUCAAUUCAAAAUACAUAAUAAAGACAAGAUUCUAUUCGUUAUUGCCGAUGCACUUCGUGAGAGAUUCAAUGCGAACAAGAACGUGCUGAGAGGAUCUCCGGAUAUUAAUGUUUGUUGUUGUGCUUCAGUGACAAUUUUAUCAGCUCCCAACUCCGGAAAUCUUGAAAAUAUUGUUGAAGUUUUUGAAAGCUCAAAGGAGCCCCCUGUUGAUGAAAGUGAUAGUAACGAUACUGAUGAAAGUGAUUCUCUGAUGAUAUUGAAGAUUCUGAUCAUAGGUUAUAUACAUCAUUGUGUUGUAGGUUUUGCUUGUUUGUGAAUUUACCUUGGGCCUGGGUUAAUCUGUAGUUAAUAAUCUGGUGGUAGCCUAUCCAUAUCUUGUUGAUUCUCUCAAAGGUUUUCUUUGAAGAAUUGCAUUGCAGUCAUGGGCUUUCUUGUUUAUGGAGGAAGGAUGAGCCAACCCCACUUGAUAUAAAAAAGGACCCUAAAAGCAUGUGAGAUGAUAAAUAUGGUAUAAAAGAUUCAUGGGAAGAUGAAGAUGAACCCUCUCCGCCACAAGUGGUAGCACCUCCUGUUGUGAAGGCCGCAAAGAAGUCAACAGUCAAACCGGCUCCAAGAAAAAGGGAUAGCUGUUGUUGAACUAGCAAAAGAGGUGCAUUAAAUCCUUUACUAGAAAAGCUCUAACAAUGAAGGUAUGCACCAUUAAUGGUAUCACCAUUUAUUCGUCUGAAAAUAUACAGUGCAAUCGUAUAAAUUUUGUUACUCUUGUGCAUGGCAUCUUGUGAAGUUGCCUUUUUAUAGCUUUUCCUUCAUUUGUAUGAUGAAUAUAGCAAUUUCAAUUUGGAUCUGUUGGCUUCUUUUCACCUAUGAACCAUUUUCAUGUUCCAAGUUUUAGUCUAUAGUUAGAGUGACUUAUUUAUUGUGGUACC